GACGAACCGUGCGAACGUUGUUCGGAAUCACUGGGCUUAAAGGGCGCGUAGGUGGUUCUGUAUGUCUACCGUGAAAGCAUACAGCUCAACUGUAUUUUGUCGGUAGAAACUGCAGGACUUGAGGCUGGGAGGGGCUGGUGGAAUUCCCUGUGUAGCGGUGAAAUGCGUAGAGAUGGGGGAGAACACUCGUGGCGAAGGCGGCCAGCUAGACCAGUUCUGACACUGAGGCGCGACAGCGUGGGGAGCAAACAGG
rnacentral:rRNA from 1 species